GAUGAACGCUGGCGGCGUGCCUAAUACAUGCAAGUCGAGCGAACGGACGAGAAGCUUGCCUCUCUGAUGUUAGCGGCGGACGGGUGAGUAACACGUGGAUAACCUAUCUAUAAGACUGGGAUAACUUCGGGAAACCGGAGCUAAUACCGGAUGAUAUUUUGAACCGCAUGGUUCAAAAGUGAAAGACGGUCUUGCUGUCACUUAUAGAUGGAUCCGCGCUGCAUUAGCUAGUUGGUAAGGUAACGGCUUACCAAGGCAACGAUGCAUAGCCGACCUGAGAGGGUGAUCGGCCACACGGGAACGGAGACACGGUCCAGACUCCUACGGGAGGCAGCAGUAGGGAAUCUUCCGCAAUGGGCGAAAGCCUGACGGAGCAACGCCGCGUGAGUGAUGAAGGUCUUCGGAUCGUAAAGCUCUGUUAUUAGGGAAGAACAUAUGUGUGAGUAACUGUGCACAUCUUGACGGUACCUAAACAAAAAGCCACGGCUAACUACGUG
rnacentral:rRNA from 1 species